rnacentral:RNase_P_RNA from 1 species
ACUGCAGGCUGCUCUACCGCUUCGAUCAUAUCGGGGAGGAAAGUCCGGGCAGCACAGAGCAGUUUGACGGGUAACGCCCGUUGGCAGUAAUGUCAGGAAAGUGCCACAGAAAAUAUCAUUGUAUUCUGAUUUGUUUCAGAAUCUCUAAGGUGAAAAACGCUUUGCAGCAAUGCAUAGCUCAGGUAAACCCCAAACGCUGAAACAUCACGUAAACCAACGCCUGACGGCUGCUCGCCGGAUGUUGGAGGGUAGAUGGAUAGAGGCAAUCAGUAAUGGUUGUCCCAGAUAAAUGGUAGAGGUUCACAGAACCCGGCUUACAGGCCUGCAUUUUUU